rnacentral:rRNA from 1 species
AGGAUGAACGCUGGCGGCGUGCCUAACACAUGCAAGUCGAACGUCCUGUCUCGCAAGAGGCAGGGAGUGGCGGACGGGUGAGUACCACGUGGGUUAUCUACCGUGAGGUGAGGAAUACCGGCGAGAAAUCGCCGACAAGACCGCAUAGCCUCGGUGCAAGCCGAGCAAAGCUCUUUCGAGAGAGGGAGCGCCACACGAGGAGCCUGCGCCCGAUUAGCUAGCUGGUGGAGUAACGGUUCACCAGGGCGACGAUCGGUAGCUGGUCUGAGAGGACGAUCAGCCACACUGGGAUUGAGAACGGCCCAGACUCCUACGGGGGGCAGCAGUGAGGAAUUUUCGUCAAUGGGGGCAACCCUGAACGAGCAACGCCGCGUGCAGGAGAAGGUUUUCGGAUCGUAAACUGCUUUUCUCGGGGAAGAGAACGGACGGUACCCGAGGAAUCAGCCCCGGCUAACUACGCGCCAGCAGCCGCGGUAA